UUAAAAAGCUCGUAGUUGGAUUUCUGUAGUGGGAUGCCGGCCGGGUUCUCUGAACUUGUAGCUAGGUUAUCUUGCUGCAUCUUGUCGUAAUUCUCACUGGCAUUCAUUUGUUGGUGUAGAGGACCGACUCGUUUACUUUGAGAAAAUUAGAGUGUUUAAAGCAGGCUAUAGCUUUGAAUAUGUUAGCAUGGAAUAAUAAUAUAGGACUUUACGUUCUAUUUUGUUGGUUGUUCGAGGACGUAAGUAAUGAUUGAUAGGGACAGUUGGGGGCAUCAGUAUUCCGAAGCGAGAGGUGAAAUUCUUGGACCUUCGGAAGACUAACAACUGCGAAAGCAUUUGCCUAGGAUGUUCUCUUUAAUCAAGAACGAAGGUUGGGGGAUCGAAGACGAUCAGAUACCGUCGUAGUCUCAACUAUAAACUAUGCCAACUAGGGAUGGGGCAAUGUUUAAUUACGACUUGCUCCGCACCUUAUGAGAAAUCAAAAGUAUUUGGGUUCCGGGGGGAGUAUGGUCGCAAGGCUGAAACUUAAAAGGAAUUGA
rnacentral:rRNA from 1 species